UUAGAUACCCUAUUAUACUAAUAAAAACUUGAAUUAUUAAUAGGUAUAGUCUUUAAACUUGAAGAAUUUGGCGGUGGUUUAAUCUUAUUAGAGGAACCUGUUUUUUAAUCGAUACACCACGUGGAAUUUCACUCGCUUUAUUUAGUUUAUAUACCGUCAUUAUCAGAUAAUUUUUAGAGGAAAUAAUUAUUAGAGUUUAUGUAAAUUUAGAUAAAUUAAAUUAGAUCAAGGUGUAGCCUAUAAGUGAGUUAAAAUGGGUUACAAUAAAGUGUAUUUAUUAUGAAUUGGUUAUAAAGUUGAAUAACAACCAUGAAGGAGGAUUUAAUUGUGAUGCAAGUUUAGCAAGCUUGGAAGAUAUAAGCUCUAAACCAUGUACAUAUCGCCCGUCGC
rnacentral:rRNA from 1 species